rnacentral:rRNA from 1 species
AGAGUUUGAUCCUGGCUCAGGCCGAACGCUGGCGGCGCGCCUAACACAUGCAAGUCGAACGAGAGAUGAGGAGCUUGCUCUUCAAAUCGAGUGGCGAACGGGUGAGUAACGCGUGAGGAACCUGCCUCAAAGAGGGGGACAACAGUUGGAAACGACUGCUAUACCGCAUAAGCCCACGGCUCGGCAUCGAGCAGGGGGAAAAGGAGCAAUCCGCUUUGAGAUGGCCUCGCGUCCGAUUAGCUAGUUGGUGAGGUAACGGCCCACCAAGGCGACGAUCGGUAGCCGGACUGAGAGGUUGAACGGCCACAUUGGGACUGAGACACGGCCCAGACUCCUACGGGAGGCAGCAGUGGGGAAUAUUGCACAAUGGGGGAAACCCUGAUGCAGCGACGCCGCGUGGAGGAAGAAGGUCUUCGGAUUGUAAACUCCUGUUGUUGAGGAAGAUAAUGACGGUACUCAACAAGGAAGUGACGGCUAACUACGUGCCAGCAGCCGCGGUAAAACGUAGGUCACAAGCGUUGUCCGGAAUUACUGGGUGUAAAGGGAGCGCAGGCGGGAGAACAAGUUGGAAGUGAAAUCCAUGGGCUCAACCCAUGAACUGCUUUCAAAACUGUUUUUCUUGAGUAGUGCAGAGGUAGGCGGAAUUCCCGGUGUAGCGGUGGAAUGCGUAGAUAUCGGGAGGAACACCAGUGGCGAAGGCGGCCUACUGGGCACCAACUGACGCUGAGGCUCGAAAGUGUGGGUAGCAAACAGGAUUAGAUACCCUGGUAGUCCACACCGUAAACGAUGAUUACUAGGUGUUGGAGGAUUGACCCCUUCAGUGCCGCAGUUAACACAAUAAGUAAUCCACUGGGGAGUACGACCGCAAGGUUGAAACUCAAAGGAAUUGACGG